CGCACAAUGUGCCAGACCCUGCGUCAAAAAUACAAUCUUACAGUGAGAAGGCAAGAUGUAAUGCUUAUGAUUGCAGACCUUGAUCCAUUAGGCAUUGAACAACGCUCAAGAAGAAGAUUUGUGAGAAGGGUUUACCAUUCUUUGGGGCCAAAUCAUGUCUGGCACAUUGAUGGCUAUGACAAAUUAAAACCAUACGGUUUGGCUUUAAGUGGUUGCAUUGAUGGUUACUCACGCAAAGUGAUGUGGUUAAACUGUGGAGCUAGCAAUAACAACCCAGACAUUAUAGCUGCUUAUUACCUACAGUGUGCCACACAAUUUGGAGUCAUACCAAAGCUUCUUCGCACAGACUGUGGCACUGAAAAUGGAACUAUGGCUGCAAUCCACUGUUCUCUGAGAUCAGUCCACACAGAUGACCUUGCAGGGGCUUCAAGCCACAUGUAUGGCUCCUCAAUCACAAACCAACGAAUUGAAAGCUGGUGGUCAUACUUCAGAAAACAAAGGACUCAGUUCUGGAUGGAUCUUCUGAAUGACUUGAAAGAGAGGCAACUCUUUAAUGGCAGUCAUGAACACAUAUGCUUGGUGCGUUUUGUGUUUUUAAGUGUGCUACAGAUGGACCUUAAUGAAUGCAAAGAAAUUUGGAACACUCACACCAUUAGGGCAGUUAAAUAGUCUCGCUGUCCUUCUGGUAAACCAGAUGCAAUGUACGCUCUUCCACACAGGUUUAACGGGAGAGAAUGCGGAUUUCGUGUCUCAGAGGAAGACUUGAACCAGUUUUUCAUUGAACCUACUCUUAGUACAUGUCAAGAUGAACAGCUUCAGGCAAACUUUGAAGAACUGCACGCUCAAAGCAAUCUGACUACACCUCACACCUGGGAGACUGGUGUGGAGAACUAUAUAACUUUAAAAAACAUGGCCCGCAUUUAAAGGGUUAGUUCACCCAAAAAAGAAACUUCUGUCAGUAAUUACUCACCCUCAUGUUGUUCCAACCCCGUAAGACUUUCGUUUAUCU